rnacentral:rRNA from 1 species
CUAAAAAUCUAGCCUUACUCCCUUCUAAUGAAAAAUUCUUCUUUUCCCAUAAACAACUAAAACAUUUUUUAAACCUAGUAAAGGAGAUUAAAAAGUUUUUCAGAGCUAUAAUAAUUGUACCGCAAGGGAUAGAUGAAAUAAAAAUGAAACAAAAUUAAAGCAAUAAAAAGUAGAGCCUUACCCUCGUACCUUUUGCAUCAUGGUUCAACUAGUUUAACCAAGCAAAAAGAAUUAAAGUUUGACCCCCCGAAACUAAGUGAGCUACUUCAGGGCAGCUUAAUGAGCCAACCCGUCUCUGUUGCAAAAGAGUGGGAUGACCCUCAAGUAGAGGUGAUAGACCUAACGAACUUAGUGAUAGCUGGUUACUCAAGAAAAGAAUAUUAGUUCAACUUAAAAUUACAAAAAUUAUAAAAAAUAAUAACUCUAAUUUUAAAGCAAUUCAAACAAGGUACAGCCUGUUUGAACUAGGAUACAACCUCUACUAAUGGGUAAUUUUAUAGAAACUAUAAUUAAGUAGGCCUAAGAGCAGCCACCUUUAAAAUAGCGUCAAAGCUUAUUUAUACUUCUCAUCUAAUAAUACUAUUUAUUAAUAACCCUUUACUUAUAUUGAGUACUUCUAUAAACAUAUAGAAAUUUUUAUGUUGAAACUAGUAACAAGAAGUUAAACUUCUCUUUAAUGUAAGUAUAACUCGGAUAGGAUAAACCACCGACAAUUAACGCCAUGAACCUAAAAUAAUAACUUCACAUGAAAACCUUAUUAUAUUUAACGUUAACCUUACACCAGAAUAUUUAAAGAAAGAUUGCAAGAAAAGGAAGGAACUCGGCAAACACAAACCUCGCCUGUUUACCAAAAACAUCGCCUUCUGCUUUAUUAUAGAAGGUCCAGCCUGCCCAGUGAAUUAAUUUAACGGCCGCGGUAUCCUAACCGUGCGAAGGUAGCGUAAUCACUUGUUCUUUAAAUGAGGACUAGUAUGAACGGCAUCACGAAGGUUUCACUGUCUCCCUUUUUUAAUCAGUUAAACUAAUCUCCCCGUGAAGAAGCGGGGAUAAUUUUAUAAGACGAGAAGACCCUAUGGAGCUUUAAAUUACGUAACAAAUGCUUCACUUUAAUCACUUUAAGAAUAAAUAUAUAUCUUAGCAUUAUGAUUACUAAUUUUUGGUUGGGGUGACCGCGGAGCAAAAAAUAACCUCCACAAUGAAAGGAAAUUUUUCCUGAAUCAAGAAUUACAUUUCUAAAUACCAAUAACUUGACAUUCUUUGAUCCAAUCUAUUGAUCAAUGAACAAAGUUACCCUAGGGAUAACAGCGCAAUCCACUUCAAGAGCUCCUAUCGACAAGUGGGUUUACGACCUCGAUGUUGGAUCAGGAUGUCCCAGUGGUGUAGCCGCUACUAAAGGUUCGUUGUUCAACGAUAAAAUC